UACAGAGGUCUCAAGCGUUGUUCGGAUUCAUUGGGCGUAAAGGGUGUGUAGGUGGCUCCGUAAGUCGGGGGUGAAAUUUCGGAGCUUAACUCCGAAACUGCAUUCGAUACUGCGGUGCUUGAGGACUGGAGAGGAGACUGGAAUUCAUGGUGUAGCAGUGAAAUGCGUAGAGAUCAUGAGGAAGACCAGUGGCGAAGGCGGGUCUCUGGACAGUUCCUGACACUGAGACACGAAGGCCAGGGGAGCAAACGGG
rnacentral:rRNA from 1 species